UACAGAGGGUGCGAGCGUUAAUCGGAAUUACUGGGCGUAAAGCGCGCGUAGGCGGCUUUGCAAGUCGGGUGUGAAAUCCCCAGGCUUAACCUGGGAACUGCAUUCGAGACUGCAUUGCUAGAGUAUGGGAGAGGGAAGUGGAAUUUCCGGUGUAGCGGUGAAAUGCGUAGAUAUCGGAAGGAACACCAAUUGCGAAGGCAGCUCGCUGGGACGUCACUGACGCUGAGACGCGAAAGCGUGGGGAGCAAACAGG
rnacentral:rRNA from 1 species